rnacentral:misc_RNA from 1 species
GUGAAUCAUCAAAUUUUUGAACGCAAAUUGCACUCCCUGGUAUUCCGGAGAGUAUGCCUGUUUGAGGGUCAGUUUAAAUAAAAAUCGGUGUGGUUGCUGCCUUUCGUGGUUACGCACCGGAUUUGGGUCCUCUUGUCUUCGGUUAAGGGACCUUAAAUUUUGCCUGAUUUUUUCGAACUUAUUUAAAUGAUUUUACGUUCGUUUUCGAUAUUGAUUACUA